GUUACGGGUUAGGGUUGGAGUUGGGGCUAUGGGUUAUGGCUCAUGGGUUAGGGUUGGGGUUAUGGGUUAGGGUUGGGGCUGGGGUUGGGGCUAUGGGUUUUGGGUUACAGCUCAUGGGUUCGGGUUGGGGUUAUGGGUUAUGGGUUAGGGCUGGGGCUGGGCUAUGGGUUUUGGGUUAUAGCUUCUGGGUUCGGGUUGGGAUUAUGGGUUAGGGUUAGGGUUGGAGUUGGGGUUAUGGGUUACAGCUCAUGGGUUAGGAUUGGGGUUAUGGGUUAUGGGUUAGGGCUGGGGUUGGAGCUAUGGGUUGGAGCUAUGGGUUGGGGUUGGAGUUGGGGCUAUGGGUUUUGGGUUAUAGCUUCUGGGUUAGGGUUGGGGUUAUGGCGUAUGGAUUAGUGUGCAUAUGCUUGCAAACAUAUGCUCACUUCAGUGCACACAUGCACACGCAUGCACACAGCCACGCGUGUGCACCUAUGCACAUCCACAUGCGUGCAUCCACACGUGCACACACAUGCAUGCACGCAGCUGCACACAGACGCACACACACACACACAUUGCACGCCCCCCCUCCACGCACACACACGCGCACGCUUGCACACGUGUGCACAACCCUCCCCAAGGCUCCCUGUUAAACUGUACCCGGGCAGGUAAAUAGCGCGCAGGGCUGGGGGCCGCUGCCCGGGUGGCCGCGCCGGGGGGGU
ensembl:lncRNA